UACGAAGGGGGCUAGCGUUGCUCGGAUUGACUGGGCGUAAAGGGCGCGUAGGCGGUUUACACAGUCAGACGUGAAAUUCCUGGGCUUAACCUGGGGGCUGCGUUUGAUACGUGCAGGCUUGAGUUCGGAAGAGGGUCGUGGAAUUCCCAGUGUAGAGGUGAAAUUCGUAGAUAUUGGGAAGAACACCGGUGGCGAAGGCGGCGACCUGGUCCGAUACUGACGCUGAGGCGCGAAAGCGUGGGGAGCAAACAGG
rnacentral:rRNA from 1 species